rnacentral:misc_RNA from 1 species
UUGUUCUUUGAAAACUAGAUAUUAUCAAUUAUUUUCCUUUAAUUAUUAAGAUAAUUAAACCGAGAAACAACUGCGUAUUUUUGAGUUUUUUAAUUAGUUUAUCGCUAAUACUCAAUUAAUUUGACGAUCACGAAGUGACCGUUAG